AAUAUCCCCCCGGUUUUAAUCCCCCCGAGGAAGUUUAUCGGGAAAAAAGACAGGGGAGGUUUUAUGGGGAGCACCGUGGGCUGGCCCGGGGGGUUCCACCCCUGCCCUCCGGCCUCCCUUCAAACACCCUCCUUCCGCUCCCUACAAUAAAAAGGAUAAACCUUCUUCUUUUUAAUGUUACACCUCGCAAACCCUAAAAAUAGCGCAACGCAUUCUGUGGAAAAGUGAUUGGGCAUUCUGGCUAUAGUGGAAUGUGGCGAAAGGGGAAAAGGGUGCGCGGCGGGGGAGUUUUUUUUUGGUCGGGCAAUGUUAUUUGGAACCCAGUUAGUUAAUUCUCCCCCCACACUAAUAGAAAUACCCCUCCCCAGAGGGGGCAGUUCGUCCUGGUUUAAACGAAUUCCCCCCCCUCUCUUUGAAUUUUGGUAUAUCAAUAAGCGGGGGAAAAAAAACUAACAGGAUUCCCCUUAGAAACGCAGAGUGAAGAGGGAAAAGCUCCAAUUUAAACUCUGGCACUGUUUCACUGUCCGAGUUGUAACCAAGAGAAGGGUCCCCUGCGCUGGACCGUGUAUAAGUCUCCUGAAAUGGAGCAUCACAGAGGGUGAGAAUCCCGUCUUUAACAUGGGCCAGCUGUGCAUUGUGGUUGUGCUCUCAACGAGUCGAGUUGUUUGGGAAUGCAGCUCUAAACGGGUGGUAAAUUCCAUCUAAAGCUAAAUAUCGGCGAGAGACCGAUAGCGAACAAGUUCCGUGAGGGAAAGAUGAAAAGAACUUUGGAAAGAGAGUUAAACAGUAUGUGAAAUUGUUGAAAGGGAAACGUUUGAAGUCAGUCGCGUUGGCCAGGGAUCCCGCUUGCUUUUGCUUGGUGUCCGGUCUGGCUGAUGGGUCAGCAUCACUUUUGAGCAGUGGAAAAAGGUCAACGGAAUGUGGCAUCUUCGGAUGUGUUACAGCCCUUGGUUGCAUGCAAUGGUCGGGAUUGAGGUACUCAGCUCGCCCGCAAGGCCUGGGUUGUUAACAGCGUACGCGCUGAGGAUUCUGGCAAAAUGGCUUUAAUCUGACCUGUCUUGAAACGCGG
rnacentral:rRNA from 1 species